rnacentral:pre_miRNA from 1 species
CUUCUCGUUAUGUAUAUGGAGUUGGAACGUAUGCCUACGUUAGCUGCAAGGUGCACUGUUCCAACUGCAUACAAAUUUGAGUUA